ACUCCAGCCAGUCUAGUCCAAGCCAAGAAUUUGCCAUAACACUAGGCAACAUCAAAUUCUUAAAAAGAAAAAUGUUCCAAAUGUUCAAAAUUGAUGGUAGCUAAAAAUAGUAAAAAAGUGGCAAGGGAAAGGAAAAAUUGGCCAUAAUGAAAAUAAAUGGAGGGAUGGAAAAAAAGAAUCACAACACGGGAAGAGAUGGGAGGAAACAGAUGCUUAGAGAUGAAAAUAAAUGGAGAGACAAAAAGAUUGUGGUGCUGCUCCCAUUCAAGCUCUAGUCGAUCGAGGAGGAGGAGGUUUGAGGGGUUGAG
rnacentral:lncRNA from 1 species